CCUACGGGGCAGCAGUGGGGAAUAUUGGACAAUGGGCGAAAGCCUGAUCCAGCCAUGCCGCGUGUGUGAAGAAGGCCUUCGGGUUGUAAAGCACUUUCAGUGGGGAAGAAAGCCUUGGGGCUAAUACCCUCGAGGAAGGACAUCACCCACAGAAGAAGCACCGGCUAACUCCGUGCCAGCAGCCGCGGUAAUACGGAGGGUGCGAGCGUUAAUCGGAAUUACUGGGCGUAAAGCGCGCGUAGGCGGUCUGAUAAGCCGGUUGUGAAAGCCCCGGGCUCAACCUGGGAACGGCAUCCGGAACUGUCAGGCUAGAGUGCAGGAGAGGAAGGUAGAAUUCCCGGUGUAGCGGUGAAAUGCGUAGAGAUCGGGAGGAAUACCAGUGGCGAAGGCGGCCUUCUGGACUGACACUGACGCUGAGGUGCGAAAGCGUGGGUAGCAAACAGGAUUAGAUACCCCAGUAGUC
rnacentral:rRNA from 1 species